UCCAGAGGGCUAUUUUCUGCAUCAAUUGUGAAUAAGUUUCUUGGGGCAGGUUUGUGGGGCCAAGGUAUUUGAUGGACAGAAACGUCUGUGAACCCGGAUAAACCUGGCAGAGGUUCUGGUUGAUUCAGUUCAGAUGGUGUUUCCGGGAGAGAACUAAAGUUGGAAUUUGUUGUCUUUUAGUUGUUCUCCAGUGCUGUUGGUCACACUCCGACCAUCCAGAGGGCCUUUUUCUGCAUCAAAUGUGGAUACAUUUCUCAUUCCUGCUUCUGUAAGUGUACCAGGUGGAGGUUGAUCUAACAGGUAGUCAGAGGAAUCAGUGAAAGAAAUUAUAGAGCUGUGUUCUUUCUUGAGGCUUUUCUUACUUCGAUCCAUACCCAAUUGGGGCAUAGCACCAUACCGCCCGAGGGGAACAGGGGGAACCAAAUGGGGCAGAGGAUGAGAACUAAAGUCGGAAAAUUCGUUGUCUUUUAGUUGUUCUCCAG